rnacentral:RNase_P_RNA from 1 species
CGAGUGAGCUGAGCGAUCGCGUGCGUUUGACGCAUGAGGAAAGUCCGAGCACCACAGGGCAGGAUAACGGCUAACGGCCGCCGGGGGUGACCCUAGGGAAAGUGCAACAGAAAUAUACCGCCGUGCUUCGGCACGGUAAGGGUGGAACGGCGAGGUAAGAGCUCACCGGCAUACCGGAGACGGUAUGGCCCUGCAAACCCUAUCCGGUGCAACGCCGACCGAAGCAAUACAUUAGCCCGAUGUGCUUCGACGGGCGGCUAGAGCCGGCUGGCAACAGUCGGUCGAGAUAGAUGAUCGCUUACAACAGAACUCGGCUUAUAGGCUCACUCAAAUA